AUGAAUCGGUCAUGUGGGAGUUGUCAUCUCUUGCCUGCUUAACUUCCUGUGACCAAUUGAACUGUAGCCUACUUGUUACAUCAGUAAGUCACAUGGCCAUUCCGGGCAUUGCUGUCCGUCUGUAAAGUUGUACCCUGAGGAAUCCCUGCACAUUUUUCCGACCACUUUGCGUCCCGACCCACCAGUAGUACAGGUUUGGACAAACAACGCAUUGGUCUUGAAACUCAGAGGACUCAACUUCAAUACCCAUUAAGACCCCAAAAGAGCCAGUGACUAUUUGAGGAAUGUCGCUAAGCAACCUUUCAUUUGGUUGCAACACAUGUACAUGCGUGUGACAGAGUGCUCCGGUGAGGAAAAAUGCCCCCUCGGCAUGAUUCCUCCCCUUUUCCAUCUUCAUCACGAUCGCUUUGACCUUUGAGAAGCAAGGAAAUCUGCCAGCAAUCUCACAUGACCAGGGCAGGAAGGGAUUUGUGAGCACAAAAACUUACAGCCCAGUUCAAUCGGGUAAAUCAAGCGAUAAGCCGAUUCCCUGGCAUGAGAAGCAAAGAAGGCGGGAUGACGUCAGCAAGCGGCUCAGAAACAUCACCCACAGUGUUCACGGUGCAUCCAAAAUGAGAAUGAUGACCAAGACACAGUAAUGAAGAAAUAAAAAGCACAAAGCGGCAAGCCAAGAGUUGCCCAAAGGCAUAUAUAAAGGACUCAAACCACAAGGAGACAAAAUGAUCUGGUAUGAAUGUCAAGACAUCUUUUUUCCAGUUCCAGUAACUUAAGGAAGGAAAGGUGGAUCGAUCCAGCAAUGUCGGGACAAUGGCUGACGCUCUACAAGUCUGACUGACGAGGGCGGUGGUUCUUCUGUGGAGGACAAAGACGCUAAGAACACAUGCAAAAUUGCUAAAACAGGAUUUGGAUGACGCGGCCCAAAGUUUAGCGUGCCAAGACUGUGGCACCACAUUGAAAAAUACUUAAAUCUACAAUCGCUGCCAAAUCAAUCAAUACUCUUGUUUACAAGUCAUAUCUUGUCAUUAUGCCAUUACGGACUCACGUGUAGGAUUUUUUUUUUCUUCCAGUUACAGAUGUGGGAAAAGUGAAGCAACCAACACUCUCCAUGAAAUCCUUUGCCAGUUAGCAAGACUUCCUAGUAAACAAUUCCUGCAGCUCGGUUGCUCUAUCAUUCAUUAAACCACUUUGUUCUUUUAAUUUCACAUUCUUGGCACUGAUGCCCAAGAUCAGUGAUAAGAGGCGUGUGUUUGUGUGAUGGAUUGUUUCCAAUAAGUGGCGAAGAAGCAAGAACAAAUGAGGAUAUUAAAAUAUUAAACCUCCCUCCUUGUAGUAACAAUGCUUUUACUUGUGCCAACGAGGCUCAAAGUACGCUUUCCUCCG